GCUGAAACACCAUGUCCGUGAGUCAGACUCGAGAUAUGUCAGGAACGCGUCGUGAGUAACUAGCGGUGUAUCGGAAGAGAGAGAAAGGGGAAGAAGAGAGAUGCUGGAGAAUCUAGUCGAGUCGUUGUCCGCAAGAAAUCCUCCUCAUCCCCCUCAUUCUCCGACCAUUCUCGGAGUCGGAAUCGCAAUCGUUUGUAGUAAACUCAUGUGUAAACUUGAUGUACGCGAAAAUCUUUUUUAUACGACUUAAAUCGUUUUGAGAAGAACGUUGUUAUCUUUGUUGGAGAUAAUAACGAGACAAAAGCAAAAUGCGCACUCGACGUCGGGUUUGGAAUGCAAUUUCAUCCCGUAUUUCACACCGCGUUCAUUGUAUUAAUCAUGUUACGUCAGUUUCCUGGCGAAAUUGUGCAACAAAAACAACAUAAUGUUCUAUAACUCCAACAUCGUGAUUAUAUGCUAACGAGAUAAUACAACUAUGUGGAACAGAAAGACGACAAGAUCACAAGAUCUCUCACCUCGCGUUAACAGCUAAAUGAUGUGCGAGAUUAAAACAAAGAAAACAUAUAAAUGUCUAAAAAUUUUACACUCACAAGGAAACAAAUCAACUAUUCCCCCCCCUGAUUUAGUCCACGAAGAAUUGCGAAAAAUGUAAGGCGCCAUCGCUCGUUCAUGAAAUUUAUGCUAAAAAGAAUCCUUUCUGAUCUUUCGCCUUUUUCUGGCGCACAACGCUUGCUGAUAUUGACUGAGUGAACCGACCGAUCGUUAUUUUAAUGAGGGAUGCAGAGUAGGAGGAAAGCGUGAGAAACUGGCGGGGAAGUCACGGUACAGUGAAUACCGAACCUGCGAGAAUCGUCGAACGAGAGAAUAACUUGUCUAGAUGAAUUAUUUACGAUAUCCGUGUGGUUAUAUAGUUGGGAUUAGUCUUAUCUCUGUUUCUUGCACCUCACAAGUAACCUAUAUGUAUAAUCAUACAGUUGACAACUGCUUAGUCUUAUCUCUGUCUCUCGCGUUCCGCAGGUGACUCACAAUUUCAUUCAAGCUUCAAUACCACGGGAGUUCUGUGCCAAAUCCAAGAAUUUCGAACAAUUGCGUGGCGUAAAUUGAUUUGAUUACGCGUAAAUUUUUGACAUUUUGUGUAAAACGGUGGGCGGCGAGUAAAUAUAUUUUAUCAAUCUUAUUGAGAAAUCUGGAAACCCCGCCGUUUAUUUUGCUUUAAGAACGCUACUUGGGAGACAAAGCGGUUCUUAUUGUUUAACGUGAAAUCGUCAUUGGUGAAUCAGCGAUGCGAAAGCAUAAAAGAAGAAUUUCGCUAAAUAAGCAUGAGUAAUGUAUAUCGAAUGUAAAAUAUAUAGUGUUCUACAUUUAAGGCUCGAUUCUCUCUUUACACAAAAAUUAUGCAGCCUAUACCGCAAUCUGUACAGCCUACAAAACUGAUAUUGCUAGACGAAAUAUGAAGAUGAAGAAACAACAAGUUGAGUUUAUAGAAUUAGGCUAAAUAUCUAAUGUGAGUACAAAAAGUAUUAAUUUGUUCAUAUAUGUGCAGAAAUAUAUGUAUAAAUGUAUGUAUGUAUAUAUACAUAAAUGUAUGUACGUUUAGUAUAUGCAAAUGCUCUCGUUGGAGUUCACUCGUCAGUUCACUUUAAAGAUACAACGCUUUAACAGCGGCACAGAUGAUAGUAGCAUCGACAGAUCAUUUUAUUGAUCGGUCGAACGGUAUCGUUCACGCACGUGAUUCAUGAUGCAUGUGCCAUAUGUGUCAUGAACGAUAGCUAUUAUGUUUAAAAAAGCUUUUAAUGUACGAUAAUCAUAUUAACUGUUAUAUAUUAACUGUUAUGAUAAUUGCUAACUGGAACAUCGCCAAAUGUAUUUCUUUUUGUCUCUUUUUAAUAACAUUUGUUUAUAUUUAAAUAUCAGUAUCGCGGAAAGUGAAAAGUGUCAUUUAGUGAAAAAGAAAACUACAUUCGGCAGAUUCAGUUCAAGAUCUUGAUUAUGCAACAAACUGUAAUAUUAUCUGUCACCAUACUAGCAAAAAAAGA